rnacentral:rRNA from 1 species
UACGUAGGGGGCGAGCGUUGUCCGGAAUUACUGGGCGUAAAGGGUGCGCAGGCGGCGGAUCAAGUCAGAUGUGAAAGCUCAAGGCUUAACCUUGAAGGUGCAUUUGAAACUGAUCGGCUUGAGUGCAGGAGAGGAAAGCGGAAUUCCUAGUGUAGCGGUGAAAUGCAUAGAUAUUACACAGAACACCGAUUGCGAAGGCAGCUUACUAAUCCAUCAUUGACGCUGAGGCACGAAAGCGUGGGGAUCAAACA